rnacentral:lncRNA from 1 species
GUAGAAUUGAAAUUUAGAUUCAACGAAAUCUUUUCGUACUUGAUGUAAAGACCGUAUGGAUUCUCGACAACUCUCUUUUUCACAGUUUUAGUAGAAAAUCUUGCCGUCUUCGGCUUUACAUACAAGAGUCAGUCUGUGAGUAUUUCAAUAGUUUUUUCUUUGUUGUUUAUAAUCCUGAUUUAUCCAUAAAUAAUAAUCUCUGGGCUAGUUAUAUAUGACUCAAACCAGCAGCACCGUAAAAACGUUGAGGCUUAUAAAACACUAUAGAAUAGGCUGUUAUUUAUGACACUAGAUCGGAAAAAGACAUUAAACAACCUUUUGCUCGAAACGAUUAAACCACUUUUGAAUUCUGGCAGCGUACAAAUGAUAAGACUUCUGCUUGCUUACGCGGAAAGAAUGCGGGGGUGGGAAAUUAUCACAUAACACCGUUUUCACAACGAUUAUUUUCACCGGUUCUCUUCAUGGUGUAUCUUGAAGAAGUGUUUGGUAAUCUGAGAACAGUAGUGAGCAAAAAUACCAACAAUACUUUAUCAACAAUUUCAAAUAUUCAAAUCAUAUAUAUUUUGUUUGUAUGAACAGGUAUGCUUCUUUAAUAAAUAGAUGUGUUUUUGAAAUGUCUCAUGCUUCGUAAAUCUUUCAACUCACGUAAAGUUAAGGGCUUUUGAUUUCAAAUAUCUCAUUGGAACUCGCAAUUGCUAUUACUUCCAGUGUUUUUCAACGAUAAUAAGUUUAAUAAUAUGAUUAUAUUUAAUCCUUAUUUAAUUGAAUGAGCAAAAUAACAGUAUCCUACACUAACUGAUUUACUUAUUUUAAUCUUUCCAGAAAGUUCGCCACGGUGAGAAAUGCAUUCAGAAGUGACGGACGCAAAUGCCUUUAGUUUACAGUGUCAUUGUCUCGGUCAAACCCUGCUGUAUAACAAACUUUCUUCCUUACAAAGAUAUUACGUAGGAGACAAACGUAAUUCAAAGACAAUAUGUUGUUCUAAAUCGUAAAUUUCGAGAAGCAUUAGUAGGAAACCAAUCUAAAUGUUCUUGAUGAUCAGUGUUUGUAUAUUUUUAAAUGGAAAAUAAAGUUUGCAUAUUGUAAAUGUUUAAAAAUUUACAUAUAGAAAUUACAUAAGGAAUUAUCUUGAUAAUUACUAAAAAUAAUUAUCUGAUAGCGGAAAACUUAGUGCGAAAAGACAGUUUGGCUCCAACUGAAGUAUAUAAUGAUUUUAACUUUUUUUCUAAAUUUUCAGAAUGAAACUUCAUUUAUGUUUAUUAAAGAAAUGCAAGAUUUUUAAAUAAGGGUAUACAAUUGUUACUAUUUACAUUUGUUCAUGCAAUCUAACAAUACUUUCUACUAAAAGAACAAGGCCUGAAAUUUGGCGGUAGGAAACUAGUUAAUUACAUCGAACCCAGUGUUUAACUGGUAGUUAAUUUAUCGAUCCCCGAAAGAAUGAAAGGAUAAGUCGACCUCGGUGGAAUUUGAACUCAGAACGUAGCAACGGACGAAAUGCCGCUAAGCACUAUGCCAAGCGCACUAACAAUUCUGCCAGUGUGCUGCCUUGUAUGCUACCUAAUAAUAAGAUAAUACCGAAUUAGGAUUUUAAAGAUUUAAAACAUAUGAGCGAUCACAAUAUAACACAUUAUCUUAACAAUGAUAGAUAUGUAUAUGAGGGCACAUUUAUAUAAAAUUUAGUUUCAGUAAAACAAAAUAUAGAAAUAAAUAUAGAUCUAAUAAGCAGACAAUAUAUUUGCAUCACGUUGUACAUUACUUAUAUUGGCUAUCAAUAACUGUUGCUGUUGUUUAGCAGUGAUCAUCCUUUCUCUUUCAGACAUCUUGAACUUCAUUAUCAAAUGUAUCUUUUCUUUUUUUAAGAGUGGAGUACAAUUUGAGGGAUAUUGGCUGCUAUUUCUACUAGACCGGGCGACCAUAGAGAGAAAACCUUGGUUGUUGCUUAACGCAAGGGGAUCCCUUAUCGUGAAGACCUAUGAUCAUAGGUAUUCCCGUAGUGACCACAGUCUGCUUCACAGCCACCAUGCACCUAGAAUCACAUCAUCCAAUAUGUCCUUUUUAAA